UUUCCCUCUCUCCUUCGUAUUGACAGAGCUGUUGAAAAAUCUUUGUCACGGUUAGUCCCCCGAGAAAAUAUGCCUUCCUUUGUCUGCCACCGAAAUGAAAUCAUCCAUAGAUUGUUCCUAAAAACCCUACCAUUAAUUUCCUUCUCUAAACCCUAAUUUCCAAACCCUCCUCCUGAUUUUCAAAUCCUCUCUAUAAAAGAGCUGCGGUGAAAUGCUUGUUAAAGAUGCAGAAGCUGCUUCUGCUGCAAAAGAAACAUUCAAGUUCCCUCCUUUGUACUUCUGUUACUACUAGUUUUCUUUCUUUGACUUGUAGAAACAAACCCAGUAACUAUUUCCACUCUCACUCAAUUAAAGACCCUUUCUUUUAUCUUACUGUAAAGCCCUACACUUCUUUCUCAAUGCCUACUGUUGCAGUUAGUGGCAGCGGCGGCGGCUCUUCUCUCGCCUAUUGUGUGGCCAGAAAGACUGUUGUCAGACCUGCACUCAAUUCUCGUGUAUCUUCAAACUGUUACAGCGUCUGCCGUUGUGCCGCUGACAACACAGCAAAAACCCCUUUGCGGGCUUGGGUUGUAGCCCGGCCUGCAUGGUACCACACAGUGGCCGGGUCCGGGGCAGAGGGACCCAUCACCACAGGUGCGGCUGCUGCGGUGAAGAGUUGUGAUGGGGGAGACGGUGAGAAAGGAGAAAAAGAGGAAAAGACCGCGAGGAUGAAUAGGCGGCAGAAAGGGUCAUGUGAGAUGGUGCGUAAUGCUGAUUUGUUGACAAUUCCAGGGGUGGGGCCAAAAAAUUUAAGGAAACUGGUUGAGAAAGGGUUCCGGGGAAUGGCAGAGCUCAAGAAGCUGUAUAAAGAUAAGUUUCUUGGGAAGGCUAAUGAGACAAUGGUUGAGUAUUUACAGAGUUCUGUGGGAAUUAUUCACAAAAAUCAUGCUGAGAGCAUAACAGCUUUCAUCAAAGAGAGCGUGGAUGAAGAGUUAAAGGAUAUAGACACAGAUGUGAGAACUGCGUUGAAGAAUCGAAUCACAUUUUGUGUUGAGGGAAAUAUUAGUGUUGGGAAGACAACAUUUCUUCAGAGAAUUGUUCGUGAUACAAUUGAGCUUCGUGAUCUUGUUGAAGUGGUACCGGAACCCAUUGAUAAGUGGCAGGAUAUUGGCCCUGACCACUUCAACAUACUCGAUGCAUUCUAUGCUGAACCGCAUAGGUAUGCCUAUACCUUUCAGAAUUAUGUGUUUGUUACAAGGGUGAUGCAGGAGAGAGAGUCAUCUGGUGGAGUGAAGCCGCUCAGGUUGAUGGAGAGGAGUGUUUUCAGUGACAGAAUGGUCUUUGUACGAGCUGUGCAUGAAGCAAAGUGGAUGAAUGAGAUGGAGAUCAGCAUUUAUGACUCGUGGUUUGAUCCAGUUGUCUCAGUUUUACCUGGUCUUAUUCCUGAUGGUUUUAUCUAUCUUAGAGCAAGCCCUGAUACUUGCCACAAGAGAUUGAAGCUACGGAAGAGAGCAGAAGAGGGUGGUGUCACCCUAGAUUAUCUGCGUGACUUGCAUGAAAAGCAUGAGAGCUGGCUUUUCCCUUUCCAAAGUGGUAAUCAUGGAGUGUUAUCUGUCAGUAAGCCACCCUACAGCUGGAUAACUCUUUGCAUCCAGAAAUUAGAGAUCGUGUGUUUUAUUUGGAAGGCGACCAUAUGCAUUCGAGUAUUCAAAAGGUGCCUGCUUUGGUUCUUGACUGUGAAGCCAACAUUGACCUUAGCAGAGAUAUUGAAGCAAAGGAGCACUAUGCACGCCAAGUUGCAGAGUUCUUUAAAUAUGUGAAGAACAGGAAAGAAGUUUUGCCCUCAAAAUCUGGCGAAGGUGGUCUUAUUGGCAACCGACAGGUCUUGCUGCCACGUGAAGGUGGAUUGUUUUUACCGAGCGAAAUGCACUUCCCUGCAUCAGCUUUCAAAUCUUUAGAUUUUAGACGAACAGUGUCAUUCAUGUCUGGUCAGUGACUGUACUUCUGACCUUCUUUUCCAACUGAUCUGUAAAGUGUUAUCUUAGUCUGACACAUCUGCAGGUGAGACUUGUUAACUUUCUGUGCAUGUAAAGAUGUUAACCCCUAGGAUUUAGAAAAGUAGAGAUGUUUGUAAUGUUGAAUGCUUUGGUAAUCUAAUGUUUGAUUGUUGAA